UCGGGAAUUUUGCACAAUGGCCGAAAGGCUGAUGCAGCAACGCCGCGUGAGCGAAGAAGGCCUUCGGGUUGUAAAGCUCUGUUGCCUGCGAAGAAGGGCCCUGUCAGGAAAUGGGCGGGGUUUGACGGUAGCAGGCGAGGAAGCCCCGGCAAACUACGUGCCAGCAGCCGCGGUAAUACGUAGGGGGCGAGCGUUGUCCGGAAUUACUGGGCGUAAAGGGCGUGUAGGCGGCCUGUUAAGUCAGGGGUGAAAGACCGGGGCUCAACCCCGGGGGUGCCUCUGAAACUGGCGGGCUUGAGUGCUCUAGAGGGCAGUGGAAUUCCCGGUGUAGCAGUGAACUGCGUAGAGAUCGGGAGGAACACCAGUGGCGAAGGCGGCUGCCUGGGGAGUCACUGACGCUGAGGCGCGAAAGCUAGGGGAGCAAACAGG
rnacentral:rRNA from 1 species